AAGACCACAUUCUGAAAACCUCUCUGAAAUUAUGGUGUUGAUUUUUUGUGAAAUUUUAUAUCUCCACAGAUUAGACCAUUUUUGAAAUUCUUUUUUUUUUAAAACCUGGCUAUAUCACUCAGCCAGGCUACUCCGCUGUCCCUGUCGAAUACCAGGGAGGUGUUGCUUUUGCUCCGGCACCAACAAGUGAGGUAACCUGGUCUAGCUACAUACUGGAAAGCAUAUGGAUCCUAUCAGCUAUGUCUCAAAACAAGAGUGCAGACUUUUAUAGUUUAGGUCACACAGCAAACUCACAUGGUAAUAUGUCGUGAAUUUGUUUCUGUUCAAUUUGUUAGCCACAACCACUGCAAUGGGUUGCUGCAUGAUUAAAAUCUCUCACUCAGGAGAAAUGGAACUGUUGGCAUUAACAUAAAUUUUUUUCUCUUGGUUUGUUACUUACACAGUCCCAUUGUAAGCACUGCGUUUAACACAGAAAAUCCACAAUCUCAUACUGUUUGUCCAUUCAAAUCCAUGUAAAACAUUCCUUUCCUAUUAGUCUGUCAGCAACAGUUUGACCCUAAGUGCAUAGAGCAGUCUGAAACAUUAUUUCCAAAUCUAAUUAUAUGUUACAUUUUCUAA